rnacentral:rRNA from 1 species
GAGUGAACGCUGGCGGUAGGCCUAACCCAUGCAAGUCGAACGGCAGCCCAGUAAGAGCUUGCUCUUACGGGUGGCGAGUGGCGGACGGGUGAGGAAUACAUCGGAAUCUACUUUUUCGUGGGGGAUAACGUAGGGAAACUUACGCUAAUACCGCAUACGACCUACGGGUGAAAGCAGGGGAUCUUCGGACCUUGCGCGAUUGAAUGAGCCGAUGUCGGAUUAGCUAGUUGGCGGGGUAAAGGCCCACCAAGGCGACGAUCCGUAGCUGGUCUGAGAGGAUGAUCAGCCACACUGGAACUGAGACACGGUCCAGACUCCUACGGGAGGCAGCAGUGGGGAAUAUUGGACAAUGGGCGCAAGCCUGAUCCAGCCAUACCGCGUGGGUGAAGAAGGCCUUCGGGUUGUAAAGCCCUUUUGUUGGGAAAGAAAAGCAGCAGGUUAAUACCCCGCUGUUCGGACGGUACCCAAAGAAUAAGCACCGGCUAACUUCGU